rnacentral:rRNA from 1 species
AUUGAACGCUGGCGGCGUGCCUAACACAUGCAAGUCGAGCGGUAACAGGGUGUAGCAAUACAUGCUGACGAGCGGCGAACGGGUGAGUAAUGCUUUGGGAAUCUUCCCAGUAGUGGGGAAUAACCAGUCGAAAGAUUGGCUAAUACCGCAUACGUCUGUAAAGGGAAAGCGGGGGACUCGCCUCUUCUUCGGAAGAGAGGCCUCGCGCUAUUGGAUGAGCCAAAGCGGAUUAGCUAGUUGGUGGGGUAAUGGCCUACCAAGGCGACAAUCCGUAGCUGGUCUGAGAGGACGACCAGCCACACCGGAACUGAGACACGGUCCGGACUCCUACGGGGGCAGCAGUGGGGAAUAUUGGACAAUGGGGAAACCCUGAUCCAGCGACGCCGCGUGUGU